rnacentral:rRNA from 1 species
GAAUUAUUGGGCGUAAAGAGCUCGUAGGCGGUUUGUCGCGUCUGCUGUGAAAUCCGGAGGCUCAACCUCCGGCCUGCAGUGGGUACGGGCAGACUAGAGUGCGGUAGGGGAGAUUGGAAUUCCUGGUGUAGCGGUGGAAUGCGCAGAUAUCAGGAGGAACACCGAUGGCGAAGGCAGAUCUCUGGGCCGUAACUGACGCUGAGGAGCGAAAGGGUGGGGAGCAAACAGGCUUAGAUACCCUGGUAGUCCACCCCGUAAACGUUGGGAACUAGUUGUGGGGUCCAUUCCACGGAUUCCGUGACGCAGCUAACGCAUUAAGUUCCCCGCCUGGGGAGUACGGCCGCAAGGCUAAAACUCAAAGGAAUUGACGGGGACCCGCACAAGCGGCGGAGCAUGCGGAUUAAUUCGAUGCAACGCGAAGAACCUUACCAAGGCUUGACAUAUACGAGAACGGGCCAGAAAUGGUCAACUCUUUGGACACUCGUAAACAGGUGGUGCAUGGUUGUCGUCAGCUCGUGUCGUGAGAUGUUGGGUUAAGUCCCGCAACGAGCGCAACCCUCGUUCUAUGUUGCCAGCACGUAAUGGUGGGAACUCAUGGGAUACUGCCGGGGUCAACUCGGAGGAAGGUGGGGAUGACGUCAAAUCAUCAUGCCCCUUAUGUCUUGGGCUUCACGCAUGCUACAAUGGCCGGUACAAAGGGCUGCAAUACCGCGAGGUGGAGCGAAUCCCAAAAAGCCGGUCCCAGUUCGGAUUGAGGUCUGCAACUCGACCUCAUGAAGUCGGAGUCGCUAGUAAUCGCAGAUCAGCAACGCUGCGGUGAAUACGUUCCCGGGUCUUGUACACACCGCCCGUCAAGUCAUGAAAGUCGGUAACACCUGAAGCCGGUGGCCUAACCCUU